GGGCGCGGGCGGCGGGGUGGGGCGGCGCGGGAAUCUCGGAGCCCGCCGAGCCAGCCGGGCAUCCAGGCCGAGGGAAAGGCAGGAAGCGCCCGGUUUCAGACACCACCCUCAGACUAGCCGCUCAGAUCCGAGCCCGAGCGGCCGGGCGCAGCGGCUGCUUCCAGGAUCUCCGCGCAGGAGAGGAGCCGCCCCAGCGUCUGUCACUUGCGCCGACGGCCGCUGCCGAGGGCUCUCCCGGGCAAGGAACUGGGACGCGGCCCGGAAGGGGACCUGCGAGCUUCGCCUGCCCUUGCCAAGACGUGGCUCAGGGAAAGUGCGCCCCACGAUCGAACAAAUUCAACCAGAUUCCCCACCUGCGCCCCCAUCCGAGAGAACACUGGAUUCUCCGGAUGCCUCCCGCCUGGAGCACGGCCACCCCCAAGUUCUCAAGCCGACACGUUGUGAAGAUCGGUAGACCUUCGUAUACCUGGUCUGGUGCUGAUGAUGAAGAUGGGUCACCUGGUAUUCCAUCACCACCGGCUAGCCUGCCUUGGCUACAGGAGGAAAGAAACCAAGUAUUCUCCACAUCCUUCUCCUGUUCCUCAGGACCCUCAGCUCGGGCUGGAGAAUUGACCUGUCCCCUUGUUUCCUGCUGGGACGCACACUUCAAGUUCAGAGUCAGGUUCAGCAGUUUCCCCUCCUCUGCCCUCUGCCUGCACAUCAAGUCAUGGCUUCAGGGAAGUAGCAGCAGAAUCAAGACAAUGAGCUUGUCCCCUUCCUGACGGAUAUCACAGGAUGGCUCUAAAACCCAGUAUUGAAGUCUGGAGGUUGAUGCUUCCAUGGGUGGUCCAAGCAGCUCCAAGAUGACAAGAAUCCCAAUUUUGUGUGAUUGACAACAGGCUACGACCCAGAGGAUGAAGCAAGACAAUUCCUUGUCUGUUGAUGGUUGCCUGAGGGCUGGGCAUGUAACUAAGUUCUGGCCAAUAAAAUGUUAGGGAGAGUCUCCUAUUAGGCUU
ensembl:lncRNA